ensembl:lncRNA
GGGGAAGCCAUUUCCUCAAGGCUUUUCUCCAUGUAAGUACAACAUGUCUCCCAUGACUUUAUUUACAGUCAAAAACUCUUAAGCAUGUGCAUUAGAGCCGGGUAUUUAUCACUCCAGCCGGUUGGGUUUGAGAGGUGCUGUAACUCUUCAUCUCGGUGCUCUGUAAUAAGAGUGCACAAAAAUGUACCGUGAGAGGAGUUUCUAUGAAAUCGCCUCAACUCUGGAUGGCUGCUGACAGCUUGCGUGGAAGGGAAGUGCAGAGUAAUGGCAUUGGUAAUGGGGAAAAUAGGUCACCUGGGAUAUGAGGUGUUUGCAGGUGGAGUAAAUGGAGUAAAUGGAGGGAUUGCUUUGGUUAAGGGGUAAUGUGAAUCACCAAUAAUGUGUGUCUAAAUAUGGACGGCCGUGCUGUCACUCAGGUUCAAACAAACACGACUGAUCGGUCUUACACAGCAACUGACCGAUUGAGGCUUUAAACUUCCCGCUUAUGUCCUAAUGGGAGCUCGCUUUACAUUUAAAUCUCAUGUAGGAAAUGAGAUGAAUCCAGCUACCUGGUUGCUUGUAAAAGACGAUAUUUAUCGAGAGGGCCAGACGUUUAUUGCCGGCCCUUUGUGCAUGUUGUGGUUAAUUACUGUUUCCACAGGAAAUCCCUGCGUCCAGCUACGACCCUCGACUGAAACACACUGACACCAGCAGGACACCCCCACACAUAGAGACACACACUAUUGAAUGCAGCUGCAUCUCCCAGAGGGGAAAGGUUAAUUUGUCCAGUUCAGAAAUAAGGGUCUCUCCGUUUCUCUCAGCAGGAUGAUGAAAAACAUGAAACCGUGCUGCUAAUGAAAAGAACACUCAGGAUGUGUAUUAUUAUUCCAUCAGUCUCACCUAGUGAGCCCUGGCCCGGGUCCAUGUUGCAGAAAGGGGCCAUGUCUUUUCCACCCUCUCCUUUCAGAGCGAUCUCGUGGUAGGCUGCCACUCGCAGAUUUCCUCUUCAUUCAUUUCCCAGGAAUUUGGCUGCCAUUUCCUGAGCAGAGGAGAAGGUUUGACUGGCUUCGUGCAGGGCCAAGCUGGUAUUUAUCCAACCACACACUGGGCUUGAUUCAUGUGAAACAAGCACGCCCUGUAAACAGUCUCAUUACUGAAGCCCAACACUUCAUUACUCAACAGGCCAAGUCACUGGCCGGAGAGGCAGCCUGAAACGGUGUAAAGCGUGGUUUGAACACAUUCGCCCUACGCGUCCGCGGGGGGGGGGGGACUGAUGGAUUUAUCUCCGGGGUAAUAUGAUUUUAGCAUUCGACUGAUGUGGUUAAGACGGCCUGAAUGGUCUCUGAGAGAGCAGAGUCAAAAAGUGGCCACUGAAGGACUCGUGCUGACAACAGGCUUUCUGUGUGGAGCGUUUAGACGGGUUGAGACCAGCAGCGCCAGCACCAAACGUUGGCAAAGGACAAUGCCGACUGAAAACGGAGGAUUUAAUCCUGUCCACGCGCUUCAGGACGUCUAAUGAGGUUGUCGUUCGGUCCGGACGUGCAGCUCUCUCGACAGCCAAAUGUUCAGUAGCAGCGUGUCUGAGCCGAGCCAUCGGGUGUCUUUGAGGAAUGAGUGUCCAGUAGGAUGUGGCCAUAGCGCACGCCGGAAUUAGGUUGCUGUCUGGCUGUAUUCACCUGAGGCGAACAAAUGGCGGUGUCAAGCUAUCUCUGUUCAUAUACGCCUCCAGUCCAGAAAGGCUCCAUUUUUCAGCUGGAAGCGCCCAGCCAACAACUAUGGAGGGAGGUGACCCUGAUGACUUCAGCGACACCGAAACCAACUGUGAGACAGAAAUUGAUUUCAAAAAUGCAAACGUUUCCCAAGAGCUCUGUGAUCUGAUAAAGGCCUACAAAAUGCAGUUAUCCAAAACACAACCCAAAACAUGGGUACAUACAUAAACUUUGAUAACUAUAUAGGUAUAAAGGCACAAUUAGAACUAGAUUCACUUUACAGCUAUAGCAUGAAUAUUUUCCACUAACCAAAAAACAUUAGCAGAGUUUUUGAAUAAGCAGCUCCUCAUGUGAAACAAGUAAGGCGGACAUUGACCCGUCACUUCAGCAGGAGUGGAGCUGGUGUAUGAACGCAUGCUCCAAGUCAAACCACAGUGUUGCUAUUAUAGCAAAGAAAGGAUUACGACAGGCUUCAUCGGACCUUCUGAUCUCGAAGUACGACUGCUUUUAGUUUAGAGUUUAAUGCAGUUUUUCAAAAAAUGUUCUCGUGUCUCCAGGUUUCUUUUUGGAGCUGCGAGCGCAGAUGCAAUUUCCCACCUUGUGUUUACAGCUCUGGUCCCGGCAACAAGAGGAGGACGAGCAAAAAGAGAGAGAGGUCUUUUGGGUUUCAGAUUAACUGAAUGGACGCGUGACUGUUUAGUUUCCAUAACUAUAAAAAUACAUUUAUGGAAAACGUUCCCACAGAACGUUUUCUAUCUUCUAACUUUUCUAUCUUUCUUUCUUUGUCUCAAAAUGAGGCCUGACCUGUAAUGUUUCGGGCGAUGUAAUUGUACCACACAGGAUGGAGUCAGGUUGUCUUGCAGGGUUUUGGGGUUCCCUCUGUGCCUGGCCAGCAGAGGGAGCGGUUCCUGCAGGGCUCCAGCUUCAUUGUCAUGGCCGGCCUUCUGUCUGGGGCCGCUGCUGCGUGGCUUCCCUGACAGCCUUAAAUCACAUAGAUAGAGUGAGAGAGAGAAGCAUCUGCAUUCCACUAAAGUUGUUCCCUCCUGCUGCAGUCACGUACAGAACCCGGAAUUCAUUCACGAUAGAAAAGUUAAGUGAACAGUUCUUAUUUCAAGUCACAUUCAGUGGAAGUCUCCAUUAAAAAGUAAGUAGUGAUUAGAAAUUUUCACUGCAGGGAUUUUCAUUUUGUGAUUACAUGUUCUAUUAUUUUUGUUAUUCAUACAUUUUUAUUUGUACCUAAUUUAUACUCGUUCAAAACAUAUUCAAAACAAUUGUUGCUUUGUUGUUUUUUGCACAUUGUUUUGCACAAGGUGCAUGAAUCAUUUCCAGUUUGAGUUCCUGUGUGUUUCUGGGGAUUUAAGACACUGCAGCAGCCAAUGUUUUUGAAGCUAGAGAAGACAGUUCAGUCCACCACAAGGUGGUGCUAGAAGAGGAGAUUUGGAUCUGUUUGCAUCCACCUGAAAGGCUGAAAUUGUAUGUUCUUAUUGUGCUCUCUAUAAAUCUAAUACAUGCUGCGUGUAACCUGAUGUGUUUCUGAUUGGACCCAUAUGAAUCCUGACUCCAACUGUGUAACCAGGUUAUUAAUCUGCUCUUCUGCCACAACCUUCUUCCUGCCUUCGUCGAAGGAACAAAGGCAGACGAGCAGCUCCAUCGGCCAUGUGUGUCUUAUGAACAACAACAACAUUUACUGCCUCUUGAAGGACAGGAUACACGGAGCCCAGGGAGAAAACAGAGAAACUGGGCCGGAAUGGUGGUGGCGAACAAUGCAGGAGGGCGGCUGCCAGGUUUUAUGGUCUGGGAUCGUGCUCCCAACCCCCACAGCCAGGUCCCCCUUCCUUCCUGCAAUGUACUGUAGUUUACACUUGAGCCACCAUGAACCACGUUUGGUUGAAAGAAGCCAGUCAGAACAAUGAAACAAUGAGAGCAUGCACUGUAGAGAGAGGUGCCUUUUCUCACCUUAACUCAAACCAUCCGUCCUUCAGUGUCACAUGUUCAUGUGAUAUUUAUGUGUUUUGUUUUCAUUCGAAAAUGCAUGUGAAUUAUCCUGUUUUUCUGCAGUGAACAUAAUUGGAUCAGUUUGUGUGCAUUGAUGUUUCUGAAAACACAGG